GUGGCCGUAGCUCAAGUGGCAGAGCACCAGACUGUGGCUCUGGGGGUUGCGGGUUCGAGUCCCGUCGGCCACCCCA
rnacentral:tRNA from 2 species